AGAAGAGGAUUUACCAUUUCCUUUAAAAUUAACAGCAUGAAAGUAUUUUUCUUUUCAUCCUGGCUUCCAAUGUAUAACAAAGUAUCUAAGAGUUGCACUGGCAACAGUUCAAUUGAUAUCUUCUGGAGGCAACCAGCUGCUCUUGGAUGGGACAUGUAAAAAUAAGACCUCUUUGGUGCCCAUUGGAGUGUGGGAAGAUUUGCUAAUGUCACUGGUAAGCUAACCUAGUUCUCUCACAAGCCCACCGCUGGCAUGGCUCCAAAA